rnacentral:rRNA from 1 species
CCGUAGGUGAACCUGCGGAAGGAUCAUUAGUGAAUAUAGGACGUCCAACUUAACUUGGAGUCCGAACUCUCACUUUCUAACCCUGUGCACUUGUUUGGGAUAGUAACUCUCGCAAGAGAGCGAACUCCUAUUCACUUAUAAACACAAAGUCUAUGAAUGUAUUAAAUUUUAUAACAAAAUAAAACUUUCAACAACGGAUCUCUUGGCUCUCGCAUCGAUGAAGAACGCAGCGAAAUGCGAUAAGUAAUGUGAAUUGCAGAAUUCAGUGAAUCAUCGAAUCUUUGAACGCACCUUGCGCUCCAUGGUAUUCCGUGGAGCAUGCCUGUUUGAGUGUCAUGAAUACUUCAACCCUCCUCUUUCUUAAUGAUUGAAGAGGUGUUUGGUUUCUGAGCGCUGCUGGCCUUUACGGUCUAGCUCGUUCGUAAUGCAUUAGCAUCCGCAAUCGAACUUCGGAUUGACUUGGCGUAAUAGACUAUUCGCUGAGGAAUUCUAGUCUUCGGAUUAGAGCCGGGUUGGGUUAAGAGGAAGCUUCUAAUCAGAAUGUCUACAUUUAAGAUUAGAUCU